AUGGUAAGAAUUUCUGUCAAUAACAAUGCAGGAAGAAACUAAGCUCUAGCACUGGCAGAACAACCUACAUGAGAAGACCAUGGACAAAAGCAGACGUGAAGGCUGUAAUGAGUUCAAAAGACUGAUUAUUAUUAUAAACAUUUUCAUUUUUUUUUCCUUGUCACAGAGUGACAAUAUUUAACCAUUUUCAAACAUGUAAAUUAAAAAAAAAAAAAAACAUGGCCCAGGCCCACUUCUGUUCCAUGCCAGAGCUUCACAGUCCAUCAUCACUCUAGGGCAGUCUCUACAUUGCUCUACAGUUUGCCUCACCUUCUCAACCCAUGUCUGCCACUACUCCACAGUCUGGUACUGCUCCACAGUCCAGGUCCAUGUCUGCUUCAUGAGCCUGGGCAAUACCCAUCACACAAAAAUACAUAACCCACAAAUGCAGUCUCUCAGACUGAACAUUUACAACAGUGUUGAGUAGCAAAAAGACAUGUUUUUUGUUUUUUAUUUACAUGUUUGAAAAUGGUCAAAUAUUGUCACUGUGACAAAAAAGUGAAAAUGUGUAUGAUAUUAAUUAGUCACAUUAUAACACAUUAUAUUACUGUCACAUUACGAAAUUUAGUUUUUAAUCUGUUUUGUGUUCAUAUAAUUCUGUAUGUAUCAUUCAAUUUGUGGAAUCAAACUUUUAUGUCUAGUUUUAUCUUUUUUUCUUUUUAUCUAUCUUUUUAUCUAUUUUUAUCCAUCUAUUUUUUGUUCUUGUCAGAGCGAUAAUAGUUGAUGCAUUUCAUAAUAAAAUGUAUAUACAUGUUUAGUUCCCCUGCUGUUUUCCUGGACUUCAAAAAUAAAAUAAA